UACGUAGGAGGCGAGCGUUAUCCGGAUUUAUUGGGCGUAAAGAGCGCGUAGGCGGCCUAUUAAGUCAGUUGUGAAAUCUCCCGGCUCAACCGGGAGAGGUCGGCUGAUACUGGUGGGCUUGAGGGCAGCAGAGGGAGGUGGAAUUCCCGGUGUAGCGGUGAAAUGCGUAGAGAUCGGGAGGAACACCAGUGGCGAAGGCGGCCUCCUGGGCUGUUUCUGACGCUGAGGCGGCGAAAAGCGUGGGGAGCAAACAGGAUUAGAUACCCUCGUA
rnacentral:rRNA from 1 species